rnacentral:rRNA from 1 species
CCUACGGGCGGCAGCAGUGAGGAAUAUUGGUCAAUGGCCGUAAGGCUGAACCAGCCACGUAGCGUGAGGGAAGACUGCCCUCUGGGUUGUAAACCUCUUUUAUGCGGGGGUAAAUGAGUCUAUGUGACGAUGUUUGCAGGUACCGCACGAUUAAGGCCGGGCCAAUUCCGUGCCAGCAGCCGCGGUAAUACGGAAGGUCCGGGCGUUAUCCGGACUUAUUGGGUUUAAAGGGUGCGUAGGCAGGUCAUUAAGCGUGCCGUGAAAUUUUAUGGCCUAACCAUGAGAGUGCGGUGGGAACUGGGAACCUAGAGUGUGGGGAAGGCAGGUGGAAUUCGUGGUGUAGCGGUGAAAUGCGUAGAUAUCACGAGGAAUCCCGAUUGCGAAGGCGACCUGCCACAACGUUACUGACGCUGAUGCGCGAAAGCGCGGGUAUCGAACAGGAUUAGAUACCCUUGUAGUC